rnacentral:rRNA from 1 species
AGAGAGCUGGCGCCACAGGCAUCACACAUGCGUCGAGAGCGCACUUUCGGGGAGCGGCGGACGGGUUAGUAACGCGUGGGAAUAUACCCAGUUCUACGGAAUAGCCUCUGGAAACGAAGAGUAAUACCGUAUACGCCCUUCGGGGGAAAGAUUUAUCGGAGAUGGAUUAGCCCGCGUUAGAUUAGAUAGUUGGUGGGGUAAUGGCUUACCAAGUCUACGAUCUAUAGCUGGUUUGAGAGGAUGAUCAGCAACACUGGGACUGAGACACGGCCCAGACUCCUACGGGAGGCAGCAGUGGGGAAUCUUAGACAAUGGGCGCAAGCCUGAUCUAGCCAUGCCGCGUGAGUGAUGAAGGCCUUAGGGUCGUAAAGCUCUUUCACCUGUGAUGAUAAUGACGGUAGCAGGAGAAGAAACCCCGGCUAACUCCGUGCCAGCAGCCGCGGUAAUACGGAGGGGGUUAGCGUUGUUCGGAAUUACUGGGCGUAAAGCGCACGUAGGCGGAUUAAUAAGUUAGAGGUGAAAUCCCAGGGCUCAACCCCUGGAACUGCCUUUUAAAACUAUCAGUCUAGAGAUCGAGAGAGGUGAGUGGAAUUCCAAGUGUAGAGGUGAAAUUCGUAGAUAUUUGGAGGAACACCAGUGGCGAAGGCGGCUCACUGGCUCGAUACUGACGCUGAGG